rnacentral:sRNA from 1 species
AAGAGUCUCGUAGGUCCUUCCAAGCAUCCUUAGGGCCUCAGGUGAAAAUAAAAUCAGAUACAACCAUGCAAAGCUCUAGGGAAGUGGGAAGUUGAAAAUGCCUAGGAUCAGCUCUUUGGCUACCUGUGGUCACUCCUUUUAUUGUCGUCUGCCCAGGUGGCAGCUACAAGAAGAUUGGCUACUAUGACAGCACCAAGGAUGAUCUUUCCUGGUCCAAAACAGAUAAAUGGAUUGGAGGGUCCCCCCCAGCUGACCAGACCCUGGUCAUCAAGACAUUCCGCUUCCUGUCACAGAAACUCUUUAUCUCCGUCUCGGUUCUCUCCAGCCUGGGCAUUGUCCUAGCUGUUGUCUGUCUGUCCUUUAACAUCUACAACUCACAUGUCCGUUAUAUCCAGAACUCACAGCCCAACCUGAACAACCUGACUGCUGUGGGCUGCUCACUGGCUUUAGCUGCUGUCUUCCCCCUGGGGCUCGAUGGUUACCACAUUGGGAGGAACCAGUUCCCUUUCGUCUGCCAGGCCCGCCUCUGGCUCCUGGGCCUGGGCUUUAGUCUGGGCUACGGUUCCAUGUUCACCAAGAUUU